GACGAACGCUGGCGGCGUGCUUAACACAUGCAAGUCGAACGGAAAGGCCCUGCUUUCGUGGGAUGCUCGUGUGGCAAGCGGGUGUGUAACAUGUGUGUAACGUGCCGUAGACCUUGGUAUGACUUCGGGACACUGGGUCUUAUACCGGAUGGGAGCUCCUUAUGGUGAGGGGGGGAUGGAAUGUUUGGGCGGUGGGGGAUGGGCUCGCGGCUUAUCAGCUUGUUGGUGGGGUGGUGGCCUACCAAGGCUGUGACGGGUAGCCGGCCUGAGAGGGUGACCGGCCACAUUGGGACUGAGAUACGGCCCAGACUCCUACGGGAGGCAGCAGUGGGGAAUAUUGCACAAUGGGCGGAAGCCUGAUGCAGCAACGCCGCGUGGGGGAUGACGGCCUUCGGGUUGUAAACCCCUUUCGCUAGGGACGAAGCGUGUGGUGACGGUAUCGGUAUAGGAGGCCCGGCUUAACUACGU
rnacentral:rRNA from 1 species